CCCCAGCCUGGCGCGCGCGGUAAAGGCUCAUCCAGCAAACGCAGGAAGAAGUAGUUUUCCCAGGCUGUGGAACGGUUUAGGAGGCCGUGUUCCAUAAGAACUCCACGCUCUCCCCGGCAUACGCCCUGGGGUCCCAGCUUAGCUGCAAAGUAAAAGAUGUGCACCAGGAGCAGAGUAGGAGCCAGGCACAAGAAGCAUCAGUUUGGGAGAGGAAGGCCAAAUGAGUCCAAGGAACGUCCUGUACUUCCCACUUGGAGAGAAGGGGGACCAGAAGCACCCCCUGGGGCACGAGCCAGGUCAGCUGCUGUCACUGGAGAGACAUGGCUGGGCAGCUGGCGUCACAGGCUGAGGCCCACCCACACUGAGGAGGGGGCAAUCUGCUUUAUCCAUUCCACGUACCCAAACGUGAAUCUCUGCGGAAACACCCUCGCGGACACACUCAGAAAUACCGUUUACCCAGCGCCUGGAUGCCCUGGGAUCCAGCAAGUUGAUGCGUAAAGUUAAGCACCACACGCAGUACGCCUGACCGCUCGGCUAAUGUGGCGGCGCCUCCGUCCUCAACGUGUUGGAAACAACGUCGGCUUGCAAAGCUUAACUCACUCUCACCUCCGAUCUUUCCAAGAAUACUCCUUAACAUUGUGUACAA